GAUGAACGCUAGCGGCAGGCUUAACACAUGCAAGUCGAGGGGUAUAGGUUUUCGGACCUAGAGACCGGCGCACGGGUGCGUAACGCGUAUGCAAUCUACCUUUCACAGAGGGAUAGCCCAGAGAAAUUUGGAUUAAUACCUCAUAGUAUUAUGAAAUGGCAUCAUUUUAUAAUUAAAGUUCCAACGGUGAAAGAUGAGCAUGCGUCCCAUUAGCUAGAUGGUAAGGUAACGGCUUACCAUGGCAACGAUGGGUAGGGGUCCUGAGAGGGAGAUCCCCCACACUGGUACUGAGACACGGACCAGACUCCUACGGGAGGCAGCAGUGAGGAAUAUUGGUCAAUGGACGCAAGUCUGAACCAGCCAUGCCGCGUGCAGGAUGACGGUCCUAUGGAUUGUAAACUGCUUUUGUACGAGAAGAAACAUCCCGACGUGUCGGGACUUGACGGUAUCGUAAGAAUAAGGAUCGGCUAACUCCGUGCCAGCAGCCGCAGUAAGAC
rnacentral:rRNA from 1 species